UAUUGUGUAUGUGCACACAGAACCAAUGUGCUUAUAGACCAAAGACAUACAUAUAUAAAGGAAAAAAAAAAAAAAAAGAAAAAAAUAUGGAAGGAAGGAAUAAACCAGGAAAAAAAAUCUAAUAGCAUGUCUUCUAUAUUGAAAGGGACUGGAAUGCUGCUUUCAGCUGAAAAUCUAGUCCGGGAAAUAUUUCUUAUUCCUUCUACCUAUGCAAAAUGGUAAAAUAUAGAUGGUUUCUGGCAUCAUAAAACAUGUUUAAAGACUCUAUUGUAUACAGAGUCCACUGAAGAAAGUUUAGUUGCCACUUCUCUCUUUUUGGGGAAAAAAAAAAUUGUUCUAUUCCACCUAUGAGCCUUGAAAACUUCUGAAACUUUUAUUACUCAUAGGAACCGUUUGCACAUUAGCAAAAGACGUGCUGAAAGUAAGGACAGAAUAGUAUGAAUGAAAAAUCGUACCACCUCUUAGUAGAAAACAAAGGUUAGAUGGUCAGUUGGUAAAGCAGCAACUCCAGUGCACUGAGUUGGAAUUUCUUUCAUACGCUCACAGUUGUAAAGUUUACAAGACACCACCAUCAGGCAGCCUCUGGUGCAGCAUUAGAACACUAUGAGGAACUACUUGAAUGAUGAGAUGCAUAGAAACAUUCAUACAACUUCAGAAGAAAAAUUAGGUGACAGCAAGUGUGUACAGAAAAUGGUUCAGAAUAGUGAAUUAAAAAAGAAAGAAAGAAAGAAAACAACAAGAAUUUCUUGGUGUUCUGCCUUCAAGUCUGUAAAAAUCUGCAAAAGAAGUGUGGUGGUUCUGAGAAGAAUGCAGGAGGUCUGCUUUGGGAGAGCUAAAACAGUGACUGCCCACAGAUUGCUGUUUGUGAGACAGUUUCCUGCAGGACAGGAGGUGAGUGAAAGGAAUCCAGAUAUGUAAAUGUGUUGAGUGGUCAAAUUUCAGUGUGACUCAGUAGUUCAUCACACUGUGAUGGGCAGAACCUGGGAGCAUGCAUAGAGGGAUUUUCUGAUCUGCACCAUCAGUUCAGGCUUUUCUAGUGCAGAUAGAGGGUUGCUGUUUCCCUAACUCAUGCUGGUGUUUUUUUGGUGUUCUUUUGUUGUUCUGCAUGAUGCUAUUUGCACCCCUUUAUCUUAUUUUAUACUGCUUACCUUUGUCA
rnacentral:lncRNA from 1 species